rnacentral:rRNA from 1 species
AGAGUUUGAUCCUGGCUCAGGACGAACGCUGGCGGCGCGCUUAACACAUGCAAGUCGAGCGAGAACCAGGCCUUCGGGCCUGGGGAAAGCGGCGAACGGGUGAGUAACACGUGGGUAACCCACCCUUGGUACUGGGAUAGCCCGGGGAAACCCGGAUUAAUACCGGAUGGCCCAACAGUUCUUCGGGACGGUUGGAAAAGGUGGCUUCGGCCUCCGACCAAGGACGGGCCCGCGGCGGAUUAGCUUGUUGGCGGGGUAACGGCCCACCAAGGCGACGAUCCGUAGCUGGUCUGAGUGGACGAUCAGCCACACUGGGACUGAGACACGGCCCAGACUCCUACGGGAGGCAGCAGUGGGGAAUCUUGCGCAAUGGGCGAAAGCCUGACGCAGCGACGCCGCGUGGGGGAAGAAGGCUUUCGGGUUGUAAACCCCUUUCAGGAAGGACGAAGCCACUCGGGUUAAUAGCCCAGAGGGUGACGGUACUUCCAGAAGAAGCCCCGGCUAACUACGUGCCAGCAGCCGCGGUAAUACGUAGGGGGCAAGCGUUGUCCGGAUUUAUUGGGCGUAAAGAGCGUGUAGGCGGUUUGGUAGGUCCGUUGUGAAAACUCGAGGCUCAACCUCGAGACGCCGAUGGAAACCAUCAGACUAGAGUCCGGAAGAGGAGAGUGGAAUUCCUGGUGUAGCGGUGAAAUGCGCAGAUAUCAGGAAGAACACCCGUGGCUAAGGCGGCUCUCUAGUACGGUACUGACGCUGAGACGCGAAAGCGUGGGGAGCGAACAGGAUUAGAUACCCUGGUAGUCCACGCCGUAAACGAUGGGUGCUAGGUGUAGGGGGUGUCGACUCCCUCUGUGCCGAAGCUAACGCAUUAAGCACCCCGCCUGGGGAGUACGGCCGCAAGGCUAAAACUCAAA